rnacentral:rRNA from 1 species
AGUGAACGCUGGCGGUAGGCCUAACACAUGCAAGUCGAACGGCAGCACAGUAAGAUCUUGCUCUUACGGGUGGCGAGUGGCGGACGGGUGAGGAAUACAUCGGACUCUACUCUUUCGUGGGGGAUAACGUAGGGAAACUUACGCUAAUACCGCAUACGACCUACGGGUGAAGGCAUGGGAUCUUCGGACCUUGCGCGAUUGAAUGAGCCGAUGUCGGAUUAGCUAGUUGGCGGGGUAAAGGCCCACCAAGGCGACGAUCCGUAGCUGGUCUGAGAGGAUGAUCAGCCACACUGGAACUGAGACACGGUCCAGACUCCUACGGGAGGCAGCAGUGGGGAAUAUUGGACAAUGGGCGCAAGCCUGAUCCAGCCAUACCGCGUGGGUGAAGAAGGCCUUCGGGUUGUAAAGCCCUUUUGUUGGGAAAGAAAAGCAGCAGGUUAAUACCCCGCUGUUCUGACGGUACCCAAAAAAUAAGCACCGGCUAACUUCGUG